CAGCCGCCGCGGUAAUACAGAGGGUGCAAGCGUUAAUCGGAAUUACUGGGCGUAAAGCGCACGCAGGCGGUCUGUCAAGUCAGAUGUGAAAUCCCCGGGCUUAACCUGGGAACUGCAUUUGAAACUGGCAGGCUAGAGUCUUGUAGAGGGGGGUAGAAUUCCAGGUGUAGCGGUGAAAUGCGUAGAGAUCUGGAGGAAUACCGGUGGCGAAGGCGGCCCCCUGGACAAAGACUGACGCUCAGGUGCGAAAGCGUGGGGAGCAAACAGGAUUAGAUACCCGAGUAGUCCCUGUCUCUUAUAC
rnacentral:rRNA from 1 species